UUCAGCGAGCUGAUGGGGCGGAUGGGGGAGGGGCUGGCCACGUCUUCGUCGUCGCGCCUCCUCUUCCGCGCGCUCAAGCUGGCCCUCCCCGCCCUCCGCGACGGCAACGGCGGCCGGGCUCUCGCCAGGGCGCUCGCUGUCGCCGCCUCCCUCGCCGACCUCCAGAUGGAUGCCGAAGUUAUUUCAGCCGGAAUACUGAGGGAAGCACUUGAUGCAGGAGCAAUAAGCAUGAGGGAUGUAAAAUCUCAGAUCGGGAUCAGCACAGCUCAUUUGCUACACGAGAGUUUAAGGCUUAAGCAUGCCCCUUCAAAGCUUGAUGUACUUGAUGAUGAAAGUGCAAGUGCAUUGAGAAAGUUUUGCCUUUCUUACUAUGACAUCCGGGCAGUUAUCUUGGAACUUGCUGUAAAACUCGAUAUGAUGAGACACCCGAGAUCUCUUUAAAAUAUGCUUAUAGCUCGCUGGCUUGCUAUUGUACCUGCUCUCUAAGGGCAUCUCUAAGGGCAUGUACAACGCCUGUCUUUUUGUUGCCACGUAAGCAGAACAGUCCUACAUGUACAUCAUUAAUUAAAGAAAGAGAAAGCAGUCGGCGUCUCGUUCGUUCGUCUACGGCAUCAAUUCUGACACAAUGAAUUUACAAGUUAUUUUACAUAGUGAAUUUACAAGCAGAUGAGUUUACACAAUGAAUUUACGAGUUAUUUUACACAGUGAAUUAAUUUACAAGCAGAUGAGUUGCCAUGAAUACCACCUGAUCGGGACAUUGAGUUUGUGAUUGACUUAGUUCCCGGAACUGGACCCAUAGCCAAGCGUCAGAGAAAGAAGUCGGCGUCUCGUUCGUUCGUCUACGGCGCAAGUUCGUCUUCCUGUAUCUUCCUUUCCCUCCUAAAUCCCCCAAAUUUCCCCAUCUAGCAUGAUUUGGCACGCGGUUGCGAUGAUCCAUUGCAGAAAAGAGGAGAAGCAGGCGGCGCGUGAUUUGUUGAAGGCGGUGGCGGCCCGGGAGCAGAAGGUUGCUGUGGCGCAAGCACGGAAGGGAUCUGCUGCUCCGAUGCAGAAGAGCGCAGGCCCUGGCGCAGCGGCAUUCUUGACCGAUGGAAGUUGGUUCUUCCACGGUGCCAGGCAUAGCCCCAUGUCCCUACCAUGGGUGUUUCUUGGGAGAUUAUUACAACAUGAACCUGUUGUACGUCAAAGUACCAUUGUGUUCUUGAUGAUAAGGGUAUAUUCUUCUGUACAAGAUGCGGAGUAAGAGUAUCCUCUAUCUCAUCCUAUAUCCUGAAAUACGGAGUAAGAGCGUCCUCAACAGCUCAUCUAUCUCAUCCUAUAUCUUGAAAAUAUCCUCUAUCCUAAAAAUAGAGAAUGGAGAAGCUCCAAGGCUAUCAUAUAAUCUAUUUUUAAA